rnacentral:lncRNA from 1 species
GAGGCUUGCCAACUGGAGUGGCCGCCAUAUUGUGUGACACUAUUUUGAUUUUGGACUUGGCUGGCUGAGACGCGCAGCGAGAGGAGAAGAAGGUGGAGAAGAAGAAGAAGAGGAGGAGGAGGAGGGGGGAGGAGGAGGGACGGGAGAGACUGGGAAGCCGGAACGGUUCCAAGCGAGCUCGGGAGCGGCGCCUGCAAGACACCCAACCACCUCCCGGAGCCGUCCCUUCCGCUCUGUCCUCCACAAGAGCAGCUGAACUACCACCACCACCACCAAUACGGAAGCCCCCUUCUUCCCUCCCCCGGUGGCGGUNNNNNNNNNNNNNNNNNNNNNNNNNNNNNNNNNNNNNNNNNNNNNNNNCCGCCUUGCCGGUUGGAGGAGGUGGCGGCGGCGGCGGCCGGAGACGGAGGAGGGGUCUGUGCCAAAGAAGGGUGAGGAACUGAGGCGGAGAGAGCAAGGCUGGUGCAGGGUCGCCUGAACCCUUUGCGGAGGAGUCGGGACUUCAGCCUCGUUCAUCUAGAGUUCUUCUGACUCCUUGCAUGUCCUGGUUCCUCCUUGGCUUGGGGCCGCAGAUGUCUUGACUCUCAGCUCCUAAGGUAUUAGCCAGAACAGCCAGCAGUGGGGCUUCUGGGAGUUGUAGUCCAGAUAUCUUGGUACCCCGCGUUUGGCAACCUCUGUUAACACUGGAUUUACUUGCUGUACACAACCUCACAACAACUGAGUAAUUUUCUUGACUCAAUUUUUCUUUUCAUCUGUGCAUGGGAGCCUGUGUUUCACCUCAUUUUUCAUCCUGGAAUGGGCAGUUUCCUCUGAGUUCCAAAAAUGUUUGAAUUGGCUGUAUUUAGACACUUCUGGUUGGUUAUGUUGAAAUGUUUUAUUCUACAGUUUCUGUUCUACUUAAGGAAUCCUGAAGGUGGCUAACACCACCUCGAUUAAAACAAUGAUCAAUAAUCAGAAACAGUAAAAGAUAAAAGAUCCGUACAACACAACAGAAAGCAGUUCAUUUGUAGUUUAAAAGCCCUACAACACUGAAUCAUUCUUAUCAAAUGUUGGAAGGUUAACAAGUGGGCUCAGUUUCUUGAAGUGGUGAAUGCCACUGCUGGCAUACCACCUUGGAGAAUUCUUUAAAUUUGAUAUCCACCAACUUUAUUUUAAUCACUAUUUGGAUAGUGAGCAGGAUCUCUGAUCUGGGCAUGAUUAUCUAGGGAAUUGUGGGUCCUUUAAAGACCCUUACUCACUUCUGGAUUUAA